AUACGGAGGGUGCAAGCGUUAAUCGGAAUUACUGGGCGUAAAGCGUACGUAGGCGGUUCGUUAAGUUAGAUGUGAAAGCCCCGGGCUUAACCUGGGAACUGCAUUUAAAACUGGCGAACUAGAGUUGAGUAGAGGGGAGUGGAAUUUCAGGUGUAGCGGUGAAAUGCGUAGAGAUCUGAAGGAACACCAGUGGCGAAGGUGGCUCCCUGGACUCAAACUGACGCUGAGGUACGAAAGCGUAAGUAGCAAACGGGAUUAGAAACCCUAGUAGUCC
rnacentral:rRNA from 1 species